rfam:Dipodomys ordii contig_26228, whole genome shotgun sequence.
GGGAAGGUAGCUCAGUGGUAGAGUGCUUGCUUUGCAUGCAUGAGGCCCUGGGUUCAAUUCCUCAGCACCA